UUUCUAACGUGGAUGCCAUUUCAAACGUCCUUGAAGAUGAUUUAUUACUAUUAACGAAAAGUUUUCA